UACGAAGGGGGCUAGCGUUGCUCGGAAUCACUGGGCGUAAAGGGUGCGUAGGCGGGUUUUUAAGUCAGGGGUGAAAUCCUGGAGCUCAACUCCAGAACUGCCUUUGAUACUGAAAAUCUUGAGUCCGGGGGAGGUGAGUGGAACUGCGAGUGUAGAGGUGAAAUUCGUAGAUAUUCGCAAGAACACCAGUGGCGAAGGCGGCUCACUGGCCCGGUACUGACGCUGAGGCACGAAAGCGUGGGGAGCAAACAGG
rnacentral:rRNA from 1 species